rnacentral:rRNA from 1 species
CCUACGGGUGGCAGCAGUGGGGAAUAUUGCACAAUGGGGGAAACCCUGAUGCAGCGACGCCGCGUGAGUGAAGAAGUAAUUCGUUAUGUAAAGCUCUAUCAGCAGGGAAGCAAAUGACGGUACCUGUGUAAGAAGCCCCGGCUUACUACGUGCCAGCAGCCGCGGUAAUACGUGGGGGGCAAGCGUGAUCCGGAUUUACCGGGCGUAAAGGGAGCGUAGGCGGGAGUGCAAGUCUGGAGUGAAAGGCGUGGGGUCAACCCCCGGAGUGCUCUGGAAACUGGACGGCUGGAGUGCGGGAGAGGUACGUGGAAUUCGUGGUGUAGCGGUGAAAUGCGUAGAUAUUAGGAAGAACACCGGUGGCGAAGGCGGCGUACUGGACUGUAACUGACGUUGAGGCACGAAAGCGUGGGGAGCGAACAGGAUUAGAUACCCGGGUAGUC